CGCCUUUUGAACUAAAAAUAUAAAAGGUCCUGCCUGCCCAGUGACACCUGUUUCAACGGCCGCGGUAUCAUGACCGUGCAAAGGUAGCGUAAUCACUUGUCUUUUAAAUAAAGACCGGUAUGAAUGGCAAGACGAAAGCCUAACUGUCUCCCUAGGUUAAUCAAUGAAAUUGAUCUUCCCGUGCAGAAGCGGGAAUAAUAAUAUAAGACGAGAAGACCCUGUGGAGCUUCAAACUUAAGCUAACAGACCUUAAUGCCUUAGCAUACAGUUUUAGGUUGGGGCGACCAUGAGGUAAAACACAACCCUCAAGACAAAACCUAAGAAGGACACUUCAAAUAAAUAACAUUAGCGUAAUUGACCCAAUAAUUGAUCAACGAACCAAGUUACCCCAGGGAUAACAGCGCAAUCUACUCAAAAAGCCCUUAUCGACGAGCAGGUUUACGACCUCGAUGUUGGAUCAGGACUCCCAAAUAAUGUAACAAUUAUUAAAGGUUCGUUUGUUCAACGAUUAAAGUCCU
rnacentral:rRNA from 1 species